rnacentral:lncRNA from 1 species
GGAAGCCGCCGGGGCCGCCUAGAGAAGAGGCUGUGCUUCGGCGCUCCGGCUCCUCAGAGAGCCUCGGCUAGGUGUGGAAACAGGAAGAGAACUAGAACUGGAAGUAAAGCAUUGAAGAUGUGACUGAAUUGCUGCAAUCUCAUGAUCAAAUUUGAAUGGAUGAGGAGUUGCUUUUUAGGGAUGAGCAAAGAAAGUGGUUUCUCGAGAUGGAAUCUACUGGUGAAGUUGCUGUGAACAUUGUUAAAAUGCCAAUAAAGGAUUUAGGAAUUACAGAAACCUGGUUGAUAAAGCAGUGCCAGGGUGUGAGAGAGUUGACUUCAAUUUUGAAAUAAGUUCCACUGGCUGGGUGUGGUGGCUCACACCUGCAAUCCCAGUACUUUAGGAGGCCGAGACUGGUAGAUCAUUUGAGGUCAGGAGUUCAAGACCAGCCUUGCCAACAUGGUGAAACCCCACCUCUACCAAAUUAGCCAGGUGUGGUGCACACCUGUAGUCCCAGCUACUUGGGAAGCUGAGGCAGGAGAAUCUCUUGAACCAGGGAGGAGGAGGUUGCAGUAAGCCGAGAUGGCGCCCCUGCACUCCAGCCUGGGUGACAGAGUGAGACCUUGCGUUUAAAAAAAAAAAAAAAGGAAAAGGAAAAAAAAGUUCUACUGUGGGUAAAAUGCUAUCAUGCUAUCAAACAGCAUCACAUGCUACAGAGAAGUCUUGUGAAAGGAUGUCAGUGUGGCAAACUUCAUUGUCUUUUAAGAAAUUGCCACAGCUAUCGUAAUCUUCAACCACCACCACCCUGAUGAGUCAGUAGCCAUCGUUAACGUUGGCGUAAGACCCUCCACCAGCAAAAAGAUUGUUAGCAUUUUUUUAGCAGUGAUGUAUUUAUCAAUUAUACAUAAUGCUAUUGUACACUUCUUAAUAGACUAUGGUAUAGUGUAACCAUAAUUUAUGCACUGGGAAACCAACAAAUUCAUGAGAUUCGCUUUAUUGUAGUGCUCUGGAAUUGAGCCUGCCGUGUUUCUGAGGUAUACCUGUGUAUUUAGUAUGUUCCUUGUAUAUAAAACCCCAUUUUAUAGGGUAGGAAACUAAGGCUUAGAGUUUGAGCAAUUUUCCCAUAGAUAACACCAAUAAAUUGAGGGCUGCAGAGACCACUUAAGUGGUUCUCUUAACAGUAGUCUAGACAUGACGUAAUGAGAUUUGGCUUAGGAGUGACAAUGGUAAGGAAGUUAAAGGAUUCAGGAACCAAAUACCAGUUAUUGAGAAGAAAGAAUGGCCUCAAAACAUCACUUCUCAAGGAAGCCUUGAUACCCUCACCCUUACUACACUGUAUCCUCCAUUUGAAUGUUGUCAAGAGCUCUUCUCACAAUUGUAAAUAAUAAUUGUGUAAUUUUGUUUUUUUUUUCCUACUUUAGGUUGCUCCUUGAGGGCAGGACAGUUCUUAUGGCUUUAUCCGUUGCGUAAGCACAGAGAGGUCUGCGAGGUCAAAACUAUUGUCAUGAUAGCAAGAUGCCUGUCUUUUUCAUUUAUUCUCACGGUGUGCAGAGGCUACAUGAUGUGUGAUGACAUCCUCAUUGAUGUUAAUGAAUGGUGCUAUACUUGAAUUUUCUAAGGUGUCAUUAGGUAGGUUUAGGUAUGCAUACUUGUUUUUAGAAAUUAUUUUUUUCCUUUUUCCCAUUUUUAGAAAUCAACUCAUUUUUUAGGUUAUGCCUUCAGUAAUCUUUGCAACCUCAAUAUUGUGUAAUGGUUACUUUAAAAUACUGUAGUUUUCUUUGUGCCUAAGUAUAAACAUAAGUACAUUUUGUUGUUUUGUUUGCAAUAGUGGUUUAAAUAUUUUCCCAAAAUAUCCAAAUUUAAAAAUUCUACAACUUUAGAAUUUAAUAAAUUUAUUCUAAAAUAUUUAUAUAUUUUUUCAUUUAAGAAUGGAUCGGCUUAAAAAGACUGCUUCUCAUUUACUUACUGGCUAUACCAUCUGUAUACUAAUAAAAAACAAGAUUUGAUUUGGAAGGACUGACUCAAACUAACGAAAAUAUGAAACCUGUCUUUCUGCUUUGGAGAUAUUUACCUAAUCAUGUUCUGCAGUAGAAUAAUUUAGUUCUUUUGUCUUUUUUUGGAGAUGAGGUCUUGCUGUGUUGCCCAGGCUAUUCACAGCUGCCAUCAUAGUGAACUACAGCCUGAAACUCCUGGGUUCAAGAGAUCCUUCUGCCUCAGCCUCCUGAGUAGCUGGAACUAUAGGCAUGCGCCACCAAGCCUGGGCUUUUAAAAAAAUUUUAAAAAGAAUUUUGAGACAGGAUCUUGCCAUGUUGCUCAGGCUAGUCUUCAACUCCUAGCCCUGAGUGAUCUUGCUUUGGGCCUCUCAAAAUGUUGAGUUAAUAGGCGUGAGCCACCAUACCCAGCCAAAAAUUUUUUUAGAGAUGGGAAUGGAAUGAUCUUGAAUAGUGUUGGUGCCACCUAUGUUGUGGCAUCAUUUUGAAACCAAUCAUUCAGAGUGCUUUUUUUGGUAAGGCAUUAUUUUUUAAUGCAGGUAUGCCACUACUGGGAAAAAAAAAAAAACAGGUUUUAAAGCUAGAAAUGAAAAGCUACUUAAGUAUCUUAAAGGAUAAGUUACUUUAUUAUACACUAGAAACAUACACAAUAGCUGAAAAACUUAAAAAAUCUCACACUGCUGAAUGUCUCUGCUGGCUGAAGUGUAAGUAAAAGAUCAUAGUAGUGCCGCUGUUGAGUGAUAAAGCAACUUGUCAUUAAAGAUGUGUGUGCAGACAUGGAUUCUGAGUUAAUAUCUCAUCUGUAGAAGUAUAUAUUUGUCCCUUGCUUUGGGAUUGGUUUCUGGACAGCACUCCCCCACCCUUGCUGGCCAUUUGCCAAGGACACCAAAACCCAAGGAUGUUGAAUUCCCUUUUAUAAAAUGGCGCUGUAUCUGCAUACAACUUACACACAUCCUCCCAUAUACUUUAAAUCAUUUCCAGAUUUCUUAUACUUCAUACAAUGUGAAUGCUAUAUAAAUAGUUGUUACAUUGUGUACUUAUAUUUGUACUAUUGUAUUAAAUAUUCUCAAAUAUUUUCAA